rnacentral:rRNA from 1 species
AUUGAACGCUGGCGGCAGGCCUAACACAUGCAAGUCGAGCGGAACGACGGACGGGCGGGUAAUGACUGGGAGUCUGCCUGGCAGAGAGGGAUGACGACCUGCAACGGGCGCUAGUACCGCAUACUAUCAGAUGAGCGUAGGUCGGAGUAGCUAGCUGGUGGGGUAAAGGCUUACCAAGGCUACGAUCCGUACCUGGUCGGAGAGGAUGAACAUUCACACUGGGACUGAGACACGGUCCAGACUCCUACGGGAGGCAGCAGUGGGGAAUAUUGGACAAUGGGCGAAAGCCUGAUCCAGCCGUGCCGCGGGUGUGAAGAAGGUCUUCGGGUUGUAAAGUACUUUCAGUUGGGAGGCGUUACCAACAGAAUAAGCACCGGCUAACUUCGUGCCAGCAGCCGCGGUAAUUC